CCCCCAGCAAGAACAUAAGUAUUGGGGGUAAUGCCUGCCCAGUGACACUGUUAAACGGCCGCGGUAUCCUAACCGUGCAAAGGUAGCGUAAUCACUUGUCUUUUAAAUAAAGACUAGAAUGAAUGGCCAAACGAGGCUCUACCUGUCUCUUACAAAUAAUCAGUGAAAUUGAUCUUCCCGUGCAAAAGCGGGGAUAACACUAUAAGACGAGAAGACCCUGUGGAACUUCAAAUAUAAAAUCAACUAUCACCAACACCCACCCACGGGCCUUAUACCAAACAGCACCUGAUUUUUAUUUUCGGUUGGGGCGACCUCGGAACAAAACAAAACCUCCGAAAAAUAAAAAACCCUUUAAACCUAGAACAACAGUUCAAAGUGCUUCCGGCAAAACGAUCCAAUACACUUGAUCAACGAACCAAGCUACCCCAGGGAUAACAGCGCAAUCCCAUCCUAGAGUCCCUAUCGACGAUGGGGUUUACGACCUCGAUGUUGGAUCAGGACAUCCUAAUGGUGUAGCCGCUAUUAAGGGUUCGUUUGUUCAACGAUUA
rnacentral:rRNA from 2 species